UCAUGUAAACAACGCAGAAAGCUGUCGUUGCCAAGUUUCGAAACACUGACAUAGGCGAGUGGCACACACUUAUAUAUUAUUAUUUUGUGUUCUGUAUGUCUCUUGUCAUUCGAAUCUCAGAAUGGAAAACAAAGAACUAUUUCUUCAAUGUAAGAAAGGAGACUUAGAAAAAGUAAGGUUCUUAAUAGAGCAGCGAGAUGCAGACGUGAAUAUCCGAGAUAAAUGGGACAGUACCCCUCUAUAUUAUGCGUGUUUAUGUGGACACCAGCCAAUAGUCGAAUAUCUAAUUGGAGUUGGCGCGCGGUGCGAAGCGAAUACCUUUGACGGAGAGCGAUGUUUAUACGGAGCGCUAACGGAUGAUAUUCGACGCAUCUUAACACAACACAAUUUAGUAACCACCCACACUAUUAGAAGGGACGCCUAUGAUGAAUUUUUAAGGAGGUUGUUUGAAAGUGGCGAAUACAGCGAUGUUACAUUCGUGGUACAAGGGCAGUUGUUUGCUCUCCAUCGGUGCAUACUUAGUGCACGCUCAGAUUACUUUAGAGAAAUGUUUGUGACAAAAUGGCACAACAGACCAAAAGUUGCCAUCAAUAGAGAUUUGCGCGGUGAUGAAGUAUAUCUACACGGGGCGGUUUGAGUGCCCGGUCGACCAGCUGAGAGGGUGCAUUCGUAUCGGCUUGAACUGCAGGCUGCCCAACUUCAAGGAAAUGCUUGAGGACGCGCACAAGAAAGCGCUCAGUUUGCCAUACCGAAACGGAUGAUUUCAAGGAAGAGGAAGGGGCGCUGAGGGAACUCACCUUUCUGAACGAUGGCACCAUUGUCGGGUGACUGAAUCAACAUGCUUGCGGCUCUCGCAUGGUCGCGCCUCGUCCCACGCCAAGCAGACAGAAACGCGUGCGUAUGUAUGAAGUGUUGCGUUCUUUCAGCAGGACACGGCGGCCGCACGCACUCACGGACGCAGAUUGGAGAGAGGCUCUGCUCGUGUCCCCGGCCUCACUCGCAGCUUAGGCUCAGUGUGCUCGGUGACAGCAAUCGGUCUUCGGCCACAGACCCGACAGGCGUACGUACCCCGAUGCCUUGCCGCCGUCUCGUUUACACACUCUUACUCCAGACGCGCCUCAGCCGUCUCCACUGCGGUCGGCUGUCCGCGCAGACCGAUAAAACACCACGGUAUGAACUCCGGACUCGUCUAGGGGAGUCUGACACGCGAUCUCCGCCUCGAAACCGCCGCAGUCAGUCUCAAAGUGUGACACAGGAGGAGGGGAAACGCGCGAGCAGGCGACCGCUGUAUGAGGGGAACGUUGAGUGACACGUUUGGGUGACGUGCUAGCGUCUGCCUCCUCGUCUGUGCAACCUCGCAAGUGCUGCAACGCCCUUUACCUCCUCGCUCACAUCUCGCCCAGAAAUGCUCAAGAUAGGGAAAAUGGGCGGGUUGUCUAGUUCGAUAUUGUCAGUAUGGACAAGCUUGGGAAAAAUCGGAUAGGUUGAUGUAACAGGAAGUAGCUUCUGCCCCGUUUUUAUACUUAUACAUUUGUUUCUUCCGUCGAAAUAAAGUGUAUGUCUAUUAAAAAAAUGUGAGAUGUUUUUAGUAUAAUCACUAUUUCAUCUUUAAACAUUGCAUUGUAACAUACCAAAUACGAUUCUUCAUUAACCAUAAAUACACGCCUUUAUAUUAAUCCCUUCUGGCAUAACAUCUUCGAGUAUUUAGUCUAAUAAUUCUCGGGAGUCCAGAUCGGGCCAAAUACCAUAGGUAGAGACAUCGCACAUGGUACAUAUGGUACAUAGUUUAGGUAAAUCAUUUCCCCACGGUUGGCACUGUUAAAUUGUGAGUCGGAUUAAAGCUUGGGUAUCUCAGUCAUUCCACUUCAGAAACUGUUACCAAAAUAGUGCAUGAUCAGCCUUGAUAAUGCAUGCACGUUCAAGAAGAAUGCAUCGU
rnacentral:misc_RNA from 1 species